GUAGAGGGCCAAAAUAUCCUAAAGACGUCAGAUCCUAUCCGAUCUCGGAAGAAAAGCAGGAGCAACCCUAGUUAUUACUUGCAUGGGAGACCUACAACAAACACCAGGCUACAUUUUAGA
rnacentral:rRNA from 1 species